rnacentral:rRNA from 1 species
UAAGUGAAUAGUGAAAUCUGGGGGCUCAACCUCACAGACUAUUAUUCAAACUGGCAGACUCGAGAAUGGUAGAGGUAACUGGAAUUUCUAGUGUAGGAGUGAAAUCCGUAGAUAUUAGAAGGAACACCAAUGGCGUAGGCAGGUUACUGGACCAUUUCUGACACUGAGGCACGAAAGCGUGGGGAGCGAACCGGAUUAGAUACCCGGGUAGUCCACGCCGUAAACUAUGGAUACUA